rnacentral:rRNA from 1 species
UGACCUCAAAUCAGGUAGGACUACCCGCUGAACUUAAGCAUAUCAAUAAGCGGAGGAAAAGAAACUAACAAGGAUUCCCCUAGUAACUGCGAGUGAAGCGGGAAAAGCUCAAAUUUAAAAUCUGGCGGUCUUUUGGCUGUCCGAGUUGUAAUCUAGAGAAGUGUUAUCCGCGCUGGACCGUGUACAAGUCUCCUGGAAUGGAGCAUCAUAGAGGGUGAGAAUCCCGUCUUUGACAUGGACUGCCAGGGCUUUUGUGAUGCGCUCUCAAAGAGUCGAGUUGUUUGGGAAUGCAGCUCAAAAUGGGUGGUAAAUUCCAUCUAAAGCUAAAUAUUGGCGAGAGACCGAUAGCGAACAAGUACCGUGAGGGAAAGAUGAAAAGAACUUUGGAAAGAGAGUUAAACAGUACGUGAAAUUGCUGAAAGGGAAACGCUUGAAGUCAGUCGCGUCAUCCAGGGAUCAACCUUGCUUUUGCUUGGUGCACUUUCUGGUUUGACGGGUCAGCAUCAAUUUUGACCGUUGGAAAAAGAUCAGGGGAAUGUGGCAUCUCUGGAUGUGUUUAUAGCCCUUGGUCACAUACAAUGGUUCGGGAUUGAGGAACUCAGCACGCCGCAAGGCCGGGUUUUUAACCACGUACGUGCUUAGGAUG